rnacentral:rRNA from 3 species
GCUGAUGCGUUGUUGGGUAGGGGAGCGUUCUGUAAGCCUGCGAAGGUGACCUGUGAGGGUUGCUGGAGGUAUCAGAAGUGCGAAUGCUGACAUAAGUAACGAUAAAGCGGGUGAAAAGCCCGCUCGCCGGAAGACCAAGGGUUCCUGUCCAACGUUAAUCGGGGCAGGGUGAGUCGACCCCUAAGGCGAGGCCGAAAGGCGUAGUCGAUGGGAAACGGGUUAAUAUUCCCGUACUUGGUGUUACUGCGAAGGGGGGACGGAGAAGGCUAUGUUGGCCGGGCGACGGUUGUCCCGGUUUAAGCGUGUAGGUGUGUGUUCCAGGUAAAUCCGGUUCACUUUAACACUGAGGCGUGAUGACGAGGCACUACGGUGCUGAAGCAACAAAUGCCCUGCUUCCAGGAAAAGCCUCUAAGCAUCAGGUAACAUCAAAUCGUACCCCAAACCGACACAGGUGGUCAGGUAGAGAAUACCAAGGCGCUUGAGAGAACUCGGGUGAAGGAACUAGGCAAAAUGGUGCCGUAACUUCGGGAGAAGGCACGCUGACACGUAGGUGAAGUGAUUUACUCACGGAGCUGAAGUCAGUCGAAGAUACCAGCUGGCUGCAACUGUUUAUUAAAAACACAGCACUGUGCAAACACGAAAGUGGACGUAUACGGUGUGACGCCUGCCCGGUGCCGGAAGGUUAAUUGAUGGGGUCAGCGCAAGCGAAGCUCCUGAUCGAAGCCCCGGUAAACGGCGGCCGUAACUAUAACGGUCCUAAGGUAGCGAAAUUCCUUGUCGGGUAAGUUCCGACCUGCACGAAUGGCGUAAUGAUGGCCAGGCUGUCUCCACCCGAGACUCAGUGAAAUUGAACUCGCUGUGAAGAUGCAGUGUACCCGCGGCAAGACGGAAAGACCCCGUGAACCUUUACUAUAGCUUGACACUGAACAUUGAGCCUUGAUGUGUAGGAUAGGUGGGAGGCUUUGAAGUGUGGACGCCAGUCUGCAUGGAGCCGACCUUGAAAUACCACCCUUUAAUGUUUGAUGUUCUAACGUGGACCCGUAAUCCGGGUUGCGGACAGUGUCUGGUGGGUAGUUUGACUGGGGCGGUCUCCUCCUAAAGAGUAACGGAGGAGCACGAAGGUUGGCUAAUCCUGGUCGGACAUCAGGAGGUUAGUGCAAUGGCAUAAGCCAGCUUGACUGCGAGCGUGACGGCGCGAGCAGGUGCGAAAGCAGGUCAUAGUGAUCCGGUGGUUCUGAAUGGAAGGGCCAUCGCUCAACGGAUAAAAGGUACUCCGGGGAUAACAGGCUGAUACCGCCCAAGAGUUCAUAUCGACGGCGGUGUUUGGCACCUCGAUGUCGGCUCAUCACAUCCUGGGGCUGAAGUAGGUCCCAAGGGUAUGGCUGUUCGCCAUUUAAAGUGGUACGCGAGCUGGGUUUAGAACGUCGUGAGACAGUUCGGUCCCUAUCUGCCGUGGGCGCUGGAGAACUGAGGGGGGCUGCUCCUAGUACGAGAGGACCGGAGUGGACGCAUCACUGGUGUUCGGGUUGUCAUGCCAAUGGCACUGCCCGGUAGCUAAAUGCGGAAGAGAUAAGUGCUGAAAGCAUCUAAGCACGAAACUUGCCCCGAGAUGAGUUC